rnacentral:piRNA from 1 species
UGCGGAAGCGACCAGGCUGAGCGGGC